CCAAGCCUACGAUCAAUAGCCAUGUUUGAUAGAGCAGAUGGCCACAUUGGGAAUGGAAAGCCCCAAGUAGUGAAAACUACCAGCAGUCAAGAAUAUUAGUCAAUGCUCGCAAGAGUGAACUAGCUAACUGAAAUCACAUGAUCCAUGCUUUAUGUUGGUUAUUGUGAUAACGUAAGGGAAAAAAAUGAUAUUACCUUACUAUUAGUGUUGUCCAAAACUGGUGCCAGAAGACUCGGUAAGGCCAGAGACGCGAACGUUAGUCGUCCUAAUCAGGCGUAAAGGGUGUGUAGGCUGCUUUCAAAAUCAUAUCUUUCAAAUAGCUAUUAUAACGAAGAUCUGUUUAAAGGCAAUAUACUUUAAAUAUCUUCAUUCUAAGGUAAAGAUAGGAUGAAUAAAAGCUAGAAUCAAAACGAGGAUAAGCCAAAUAAUACUUAGAGUAGGGAUGAUAUCCGUAGAUACUAAGUGGAAUACUAAAAGUGAAAACUAUUUAUCUAGAAAUGAUUGACGCUGAGAAACGAAGGUGAGAAUAGGAAAUAGGAUUAGAUACCCAGAUACCUCUCACUGUCAACGAUGAAUGGUGGUUGUUAGUUUAUAGAAGAACUAGUAACGAUGCUAACGCGAUAACCAUUCCGCCUUGCGAGUACGGUUGCAAAACUGAAACCAAAAAAAUUAGUCGGUCUCGAAGCAAACGAAGUGAAGCAUGUUAUUUAAUACGAUAAUACGCGUAAAACCUUACCAGUUCUUGCAUAUCCAGUCCUUAAUCUUAAGUGGUUCUAAAUGUCAAUUUAGUCCUAUUUAAGGUUAAAGAUUGAGUAGUUUCUUGACCUCAAGAAACUCGUUUACAGGUGUUGCAUGGCUGUCGUAAGUCCGUGCCGUGAGAAGUGAGGUUAACUCCACUAACGGACGAAAUCCCUGUUGUUAAUUUAUACUUAACAAUUAAUGAAUUUGACA
rnacentral:ncRNA from 1 species